CGCUGCUCUCAGUGAUGUACAUUUAGAUCCAGCCAAGCAAGGGGGUAUUAGAUUUCCACCGGGCAGAUUCGUAUUACACCAAGGUGCACACAACCCGCUAAUGAUGAUUGCAAAUAAGAAAGCCGUGCACAUCCAUACAAAUGGAGAUUACACCUGCAUCCUUGGAAUAUAGUUGUGAUUACAUUAAAGACACAUUACAAGUC